AGUAUCGAUACAAGUUAGAUGCAUUGCUGUUCCGCCAUUUUCGUUCUACAUUUCCACGUGCGCCCGGAUGUGGCUUCACUUUUCUUCAACAACUCCAGCAAAAUGGGAUAGAUACAAAAUACUUUGGUGAAAAUUUGAAUAAUUGAUGUUAUGCGUGUGUGCGUGCACGACGGCCCUGCGGACACGCGAGGGUUAUGAGACACCUCUGCCCGGUCAGCCCCUGUGAGACUCCUGUGGACAUUGAAGGUUAUGUCGAACCACCAUAGGGACGAUGCAGUAGAAAAGUGUCUGUAAGAAGGUAUCGAACUCUGCUGUGAGGUUGUGCUUCAGAUGUCUACUCCAAGCGCAUGGUACUCCAAACCAAGCAUUUUGGUUACCUGACUACAAAAUCUGUAAUCCCCCAACUUAUGCAAAGGGUAAUUAUUAAUAGCUGUUUAUGUACUAUUACAUUUGUUUAAAUGAUGAUUACCUUAAAUACCUUUUGCGGUUUCCACCAGAAAGUUUCGGCUUAAUGAUGGGCUUAGGUGUCUGAUUAACUAUUUGUAAUGAAAUAUUUGCGUUAAAUGCGUUUACUCGUUGAUAACUAAUACGU